UAGCUCUAGUGAUAAUUCACAAACGCUUUUGGAGGGGCUAGCUGCUUUGGGUCGCAUGAAGGUUCUGCAUUAACACUACAUAUGAAAGAGAAGAAGAAUUUGAAGAUCAACAGCUUGUGUCACAGAAAAGAGAAGAAUUCAAAGAUCAACAGCAGAUGGAGGAAUUGUCAAGGAAAGCAUACAGAAAAGAAAUUAAAUGCUGGAACUUCAAUCUAGAAGAUAUGGUGAAGG